AAAGAAUCCAACUCAAUCCAAGUCUUGAUGGAUCCUGAACUAAAGCAUAAUGGUUCAACCCGAAUGACUAAACAAACCUAAGGCGGUUCAUCUCGAAUCAAAUACAAAAGAUUCGAGCCAAACCAAAACCCAGAGUCCACAAAUAAACCCAAAAUCCAAAGUCCACAAAUAAACCAAAAACCCAAAGUCCACAAACAAAACCUCAAAACCCAAAACAACCAAAUUCAAACGACCGAAAAGUCGUUAAACUAAACCCAAAUUUCAAACGACCGAAAAGUCGUUAAACUAAACCCAAAUUUCAAACGACUGAAAUGUCGCUAAACUAGACCCAAAUUUCAAACGACCGAAAAGUCGUUAAACUAAACCCAAUUUUCAAACGACCGAAAAGUCGUUAAAUUAAACCCAAAUUUCAAACGACCGAAAAGUCGUUAAACUAAACCCAAAAUCAAACGACCGAAAAGUCGUUAAACUAAACCCAAAUUUCAAACGACCAAAAAGUCGUUAAACUAAAUCCAAAUUUCAAACGACCGAAAAGUCGUUAAACUAAACCCAAAUCCAAACGACCGAAAAGUCGUUAAACUAAACCCAAAUUUCUUGAACCAUGAACCAAGUCCGUACACCAUAUCCAUGAACCAUAUCCAAGUUUAUGAACAAAGUCCAUACACCAAACCCAUGAACCAUAUCCAAGUUCAUGAACCAAAUCCAUACACCAAAUCCAUGAACCAUAUCCAAGUUCGUGAACCAAGUCCAUACACCAAAUCUAUGAACCAUAUCCAAGUUCAUGAACCAAGUCCAUACACCAAAUUCAUUAAUCAUAUCCAAAUUUAUGAACCAAAUCUCAUGAGCCAAUACUCAAAUCUCAUGAACCAAUACCCAAAUCUCAUCAUGAACUUUUUUUUUUACUCUGGCACAUAUACCUAGAGUAAAAAUUAAAUAUCGACUACCCCUAAUACAUAUACUUA
rnacentral:lncRNA from 1 species